UCCCGGAUGGUCUAAUUGGCAGGACGCUGGGUUUUGGUCCCAGAAGUAGGGGUUCGAGUCCUCUUCCGGGAG
rnacentral:tRNA from 1 species